ensembl:snRNA U1 U1 spliceosomal RNA
AUACUUACCUGGCAGAGGAGAUACCAUGAUCUCAAAGGUGGUUUUCCCAGGAUGAGGCUUAUCCAUUGCACUCUGGAUGUGCUGACCCCUGCAAUUUCCCCAAAUGUGGGAAACUCAACUGCAUAAUUUGUGGUAGUGGGGGACUGCAUUCACGCUGUCCCUUG